GACGAACGCUGGCGGCGUGCUUAACACAUGCAAGUCGAACGAAGUGGCGAACGGGUGAGUAACGCGUAAUCAACCUGCCCUUCAGAGGGGGACAACAGUUGGAAACGACUGCUAAUACCGCAUACUGAAGGAGGGGAUUGCGUCUGAUUAGCUAGUUGGAGGGGUAACGGCCCACCAAGGCGAUGAUCAGUAGCCGGUCUGGGAGGUUGAACGGCCCGUUUGGUACUGGGACACGGCCCAGACUCCUACGGGAGGCAGCAUGGGGGCAUCUGCCGCAAUGGACGAAAGUCUGACGGAGCAACGCUUCGUGAGUGAUGACCGCCUUCGGGUUGUAAAGCUCUGUUAAUCGUGACGCGUUACCGGAAUAGAAAGCCACGGCUAACUACGUGCCAGCAGCCGCGGUAAUUC
rnacentral:rRNA from 1 species